rnacentral:rRNA from 1 species
CGGGGUGAGUAACGCGUGGGUAACCUGCCUCAUACAGGGGGAUAACGAUUGGAAACGAUUGCUAAUACCGCAUAAGCGCACAGUACCACAUGGUACAGUGUGAAAAACUCCGGUGGUAUGAGAUGGACCCGCGUCUGAUUAGCUAGUUGGUGAGGUAACGGCCCACCAAGGCAACGAUCAGUAGCCGACCUGAGAGGGUGACCGGCCACAUUGGGACUGAGACACGGCCCAG